UACGUAGGGUGCGAGCGUUGUCCGGAAUUAUUGGGCGUAAAGGGCUCGUAGGUGGCCAACUAAGUCAGACGUGAAAUCCCCAGGCUUAACCUGGGAACUGCGUCUGAUACUGGAUGGCUUGAAUUCGGGAGAGGGAUGCAGAAUUCCAGGUGUAGCGGUGAAAUGCGUAGAUAUCUGGAGGAAUACCGGUGGCGAAGGCGGCAUCCUGGACCGAGAUUGACACUGAUGAGCGAAAGCCAGGGGAGCAAACGGG
rnacentral:rRNA from 1 species